AUCGAUGAAGAACGCAGCGAAAUGCGAUAAGUAAUGUGAAUUGCAGAAUUCAGUGAAUCAUCGAAUCUUUGAACGCACCUUGCGCUCCUUGGUAUUCCUUGGAGCAUGCCUGUUUGAGUAUCAUGAAAUUCUCAAAGUAAAUCUUUUUGUUAAUUCAAUUGGUUUCACUUUGGAUUUGGAGGUCUWUUGCAGCUUCACACCUGCUCCUCUUUGURYAUUAGCUGGAUCUCAGUGUUAUGCUUGGUUCCACUCGGCGUGAUAAGUUAUCUAUCGCUGAGGACACUUCUUUUUUUUUCUAAAAAAAAAAUAAAGGUGGCCAAGGGAAAUGCAGAUGAACCGCUUCCAAUAGUCCAUURACUUGGACAAAUAUWUUUAUGAUCUGAUCUCAAAUCAGGUAGGACUACCCGCUGAACUUAAGCAUAUCAAUAAGCGGAGGAAAAGAAACUAACAAGGAUUCCCCUAGUAACGGCGAGUGAAGCGGGAAGAGCUCAAAUUUAAAAUCUGGCAGUGUAUUCUGUCCGAGUUGUAGUCUAGAGAAGCAUCAUCCGUGCUGGACCAUGUACAAGUCUCUUGGAACAGAGCGUCAUAGAGGGUGAGAAUCCCGUCCUUGACAUGGACUCCCAGUACUUUGUGUUGUGCUCUCAACGAGUCGAGUUGUUUGGGAAUGCAGCUCAAAAUGGGUGGUAAAUUCCAUCUAAAGCUAAAUAUUGGCGAGAGACCGAUAGCGAACAAGUACCGUGAGGGAAAGAUGAAAAGCACUUUGGAGAGAGAGUUAAACAGUACGUGAAAUUGUUGAAAUGGAAACGCUUGAAGUCAGUCGCGUUYUCUGGGAUUCAGCCUUGCYUUUGCUUGGUGCAUUUCCCGGUCUACGGGCCAGCAUGAAUUUUGACCAAUGGAAAAAGGCUUGGGGAAUGUGGCACCUUCGGGUGUGUUAUAGCCCUUUGUCACAUACGUUGGUUGGGAUUGAGGUCUUAGUGCACGCUUCGGUUGUGCUUUGAUGCUGGCGUAAUGGCUUUAAACGACCCGUCUUGAAACACGG
rnacentral:rRNA from 1 species